GUGCCAGCAGCCGCGGUAAGACAGAGGGUGCUAGCGUUGUUCGGAAUGACUGGGCGUAAAGGGCGCGUAGGCGGAAAUAUUAGUCAGGCGUGAAAGCCCCGGGCUUAACCUGGGAAUAGCGCAUGAAACGGUAUUACUGGAGGACGAGAGAGGAAAGCGGAAUUCCUAGUGUAGAGGUGAAAUUCGUAGAUAUUAGGAGGAACAUCAGAGGCGAAGGCGGCUUUCUGGCUCGUAACUGACGCUGAGGCGCGAAAGCGUGGGGAGCAAACAGGAUUAGAUACCCUAGUAGUCC
rnacentral:rRNA from 1 species